ACCUGGGUGGCUCAGUCGGUUGAGCGUCCGACUUCGGCUCAGGUCAUGAUCUCACAGUUCGUGGGUUCGAGCCCCGCAUCAGGCU
rfam:Felis catus isolate Cinnamon breed Abyssinian chromosome B4, whole genome shotgun sequence.